GGAGGCAGCAGUGGGGAAUUUUGGACAAUGGGCGAAAGCCUGAUCCAGCAAUGCCGCGUGUGUGAAGAAGGCCUUCGGGUUGUAAAGCACUUUUGUCCGGAAAGAAAUCCUGGUGGCUAAUAUCCGCCGGGGAUGACGGUACCGGAAGAAUAAGCACCGGCUAACUACGUGCCAGCAGCCGCGGUAAUACGUAGGGUGCGAGCGUUAAUCGGAAUUACUGGGCGUAAAGCGUGCGCAGGCGGUGAUGUAAGACCGAUGUGAAAUCCCCGGGCUUAACCUGGGAACUGCAUUGGUGACUGCAUCGCUGGAGUAUGGCAGAGGGGGGUAGAAUUCCACGUGUAGCAGUGAAAUGCGUAGAGAUGUGGAGGAAUACCGAUGGCGAAGGCAGCCCCCUGGGCCAAUACUGACGCUCAUGCACGAAAGCGUGGGGAGCAAACAGGAUUAGAUACCCUGGUAGUCCACGCCCUAAACGAUGUCAACUGGUUGUCGGGCCUUCAUUGGCUUGGUAACGUAGCUAACGCGUGAAGUUGACCGCCUGGGGAGUACGGUCGCAAGAUUAAAACUCAAAGGAAUUGACGGGGACCCGCACAAGCGGUGGAUGAUGUGGAUUAAUUCGAUGCAACGCGAAAAACCUUACCUACCCU
rnacentral:rRNA from 1 species